rnacentral:rRNA from 2 species
CCUACGGGAGGCAGCAGUGGGGAAUUUUGGACAAUGGGCGAAAGCCUGAUCCAGCCAUUCCGCGUGCAGGAUGAAGGCCCUCGGGUUGUAAACUGCUUUUGUACAGAACGAAAAGGUUUCUAUUAAUACUAGGAGCUCAUGACGGUACUGUAAGAAUAAGCACCGGCUAACUACGUGCCAGCAGCCGCGGUAAUACGUAGGGUGCAAGCGUUAAUCGGAAUUACUGGGCGUAAAGCGUGCGCAGGCGGUUAUAUAAGUCAGAUGUGAAAUCCCCGGGCUCAACCUGGGAACUGCAUUUGAGACUGUAUAGCUAGAGUACGGUAGAGGGGGAUGGAAUUCCGCGUGUAGCAGUGAAAUGCGUAGAUAUGCGGAGGAACACCGAUGGCGAAGGCAAUCCCCUGGACCUGUACUGACGCUCAUGCACGAAAGCGUGGGGAGCAAACAGGAUUAGAUACCCUGGUAGUCCACGCCCUAAACGAUGUCAACUGGUUGUUGGGUCUUAACUGACUCAGUAACGAAGCUAACGCGUGAAGUUGACCGCCUGGGGAGUACGGCCGCAAGGUUGAAACUCAAAUGAAUUGACGG